UGCAAGCGUUGUUCGGAUUUAUUGGGCGUAAAGCGCUCGUAGGCGGACCUGCAAGUCAGAUGUGAAAUCUCGGGGCUCAACCUCGAAACUGCGUCUGAAACUACAGGUCUAGAAUCUUGGAGGGGGAAGGGGAAUUUCUCAUGUAGGGGUAAAAUCCGUAGAUAUGAGAAGGAACACCAGAGGCGAAGGCGCCUUCCUGGACAAGUAUUGACGCUGAGGCGCGAAAGCGUGGGGAUCAAGCAGG
rnacentral:rRNA from 1 species